rnacentral:rRNA from 1 species
CCUACGGGAGGCAGCAGUGGGGAAUAUUGGGCAAUGGAGGCAACUCUGACCCAGCAACGCCGCGUGAAUGACGAAGGUCUUCGGCUUGUAAAGUUCUGUUAUGCAGGGUGCACACAAUGACGCUACCCCAAUAGCAAGCCACGGCUAACUACGUGCCAGCAGCCGCGGGAAUACGUAGGUGGCAAUAGUUAACCGGAAUGACUGGGCGUAAAGGGUGCGUAGGUGGUUUAGUAAGUUGGCCGGGAAAUUCCGGGGCUCAAACUCGGCGCUACCGCAAAAACUAGUAGACUAGAGUGCAGGAGGGGUAAGCGGAAUUCGUAGUGUAGCGGUGGAAUGCGUAGAUAUUAGGAGGAACACCAGGUGCGAAGGCGACUUACUGGACUGUAACUGACACUGAGGCACGAAAGCGUGGGUAGCAAACAGGAUUAGAUACCCCGGUAGUC